AGAUGGAGGACAGAGAGAGGGAGGAGGAGGAGGUGAGGAGGAGGAGGUGGCGAGGAGGAGAAGAAGAAACUCCAAAUGGUGUGUCUGAUUUAAGAAAGCACUCCAUGUUUGUUCUUCAGGUUUUUAACUCUGCUGUUUCCAUCUGUCCUCCUCCAUCACCUCCUCCUCCUCCUCCUCCUGCUCCCCCUCCCCUCAGAUCU
rnacentral:miRNA from 1 species